UUGAAACUGAAAUACAUGUAGAUUAGUUUCACUCUAAGAGAAAGUUAUUUCUAUUUAAUGUUUUUUCACUUAAGUGAAUUAAGACAUAAGAAAAUUAUAUAAAACGGUUUAGGAAAAGUUUAAACGUUAAAAAACCUACUGCAGUAAAAUAAAACGUAUUGUGUCCAAUAAGUUUUUAUUAAGUAUAAUUAUUUUCCUAGUGUUAACGAAGCUUGUAUCUUUAAAUAAAAAGUUUUUACCUUACGAAGAGAUACUUUUAAAUGUUAAAACGUCUUUCAUUGAAAUCUGGAUGUAUCCUCUUUUGGUGUAUAACGGAGAUGGGUGUUGGUGAGAUGAGUGAGAGUGUUGGACGAGAUUUAAUUGAACACAAAUAUGAAGAUGAAUAUGUUAGAUAGAUAUAUAUUCAUGUGGUACAAUCAAUGAGAUAACGUCAUAAUUGACUUUCCCUGUGUAUUUUGUGUAUUUUCUAAAGCAACCUAAAGGCCUACGCUUCAAGUACAUGACUGUACUCACCAAACGUUGGUACUAUGACGCACAAGAAAAUUUGCAAUUUUCUAUUAUUGUAAUUGGCGAUCGGCGUUAAGUAAAAUGUGUAUUUGUGUGUUUAUUAAUGAUACAGAUAAUUCAUGAGUAUGUCGUGUGCAUUUUAUGUCCGAUAUUAAUCGAACUUCGUUAACACGAAGUCAGAUAUCUAACCAUGAAUUCGUUUAUAUCGAAGUCGAGAUAUAGUCCCAUAGCAAGCAAUAUCUACUACAUGUGUAUAUAUAUGUGUUAAUCUCAAGCCUAUAGAUUACAUUAUUUUGAUGCAUUUGUAUGACACUAAAUGUAUUUAAUGUAAAGGAAUUUGAUAUGAACAAAAUGUAUUUAGACAAAUUCUGUUCUUUCAAAUUGACAAAAUACCAUAUUAUCUGUUUUAAAUUACAUUUUGUUUGCUUUUGCAUUUGUUGGCUAAUGCUGUAUAUAAAAUGUACGUCAUGUUUUGAAAAAUCAACAUUACUGAAACAAAUACGAGUAUGUUUGUAAUGGAUUAAGUCCGCACUUUACUUGUUAUUGUUGUUACACGUCACGUUUCUCAGCUGCUGUAGCAAAUCUCAAAUUAAUAUUUACUCAAAAAUGACUACGAUUGUUUCCAUAGUGGACUGAUAACGCCUGAGGGCCUCUAUAUCUAAAACCACUCUCGUAUUUCUCCCGCCGUUGGAUCCAAGUACAUUCUGAUUACAUUUUUACUCUUCCUUAUUAUACUGCUUUUAGAAGUUGGAACACAUUUAUAUGAUCUAUAGUGUCUCAUAAGCCACCAAGUGGCUGGAGGUUAAUAUUGGUUCUUUAAUUUAUUGUGCCUCAAACAGCUUUUUUUUAUUAUGUAAUGUAUUAAGAUGUGACACUAAAAUAAACUAUGAUUGAUUGAUUUGAUCUAAAAUAUUAUCGAAAAGUCUUCAAACAGUGACAUACUGGAUCACAAAAUAUUCGUUGAAAUACCAAUAAUUAACGUUUUUGUUUUCAUUCUAAGGUUACCCUGUGUUAAUAUAUAUUUAGUUCUUGGUAAUUGUUGAAUUUCUAGGAUCGAACUAUUUUCAAUGUUACAUGGAAACUAAAAAUGUAUUUCCAGUCAUUCGAUUGCCUUGAUCCAGGGAGAGCCACUCACUCGAUAAACAUAGAUUCAUCAGCUUUAGAUCGCAUCUUGGCCUCUUUUUGUAAUGUCCUUAGGUCGUUAGAUUGUUGUAAACCUCGUUUCCGUACUAAGCUGCCUUAUGAUUUUAAACAAGGUUCUUUCUUUUUUUAAGAGCCUAACUUUACAAUAAUUGGUCUCGGUUUUACCUUGGUAUCUGCUGAUGUUUCUCAAGCCUGUGUAUUUUAGUAUGUAUUGCUAAUUUCCAAUUUACAUUAUAUUUCUAUCUCGCUUUCUCCGAGUAAGUUUCUUUUAACAAAAACUCGGCAUGGGCGCAAAACCCAAUUGAAUCACAAUUGACUAGGGUUUUUAUACUGACGGUCUAUCAUCGUUUAGUAUCGUUUUGACAUGAGGAUAUAUCCAUGAUUCCUCCAAAAUCCACACACACACUUAUCUAUACGUUACAUGCAUGCAUCUCGCGCACAGGAAGAUCGUCCUUACGUAAAACAAAACAAAAUGUGAUAAGUGUGAACCUUUUGUGUUAAUUGUUUUUGUUUGGAUCAGUGAAUACCUGCUUCUCUUACCUAAAGUAUUUUACAUAUUGAUGUCGAUUCGAGAUUCUUCAUCUGAGAACCUGUCCACGUUAACACCUCUGGCACAAAUAAAACUACGAUUUCGUUGUGAAAUAGUUUAGCAUAUUACUACCCGAAUCUCCCUUUGACAGCGUGACAUUAUUUUACCAAAAUUUGCAAGGCGAAUGUUGCUUACCCCUCGUAAAUAAUUUAGCUUUCAAAAAUGUCUGGUUUCGUCUUUAUAUUUGUAUUCGACCACAAAUCAAUUGCUUAAACAAAGGUUUCCUGAUUAAUAGGAGGUUGUUACCGCAGACAUGUUCCAACCAUUACAUCAGCUCUUCUUACCACAAACGGUCGUGUGUCAUGUUGACUCAGCAGGCUAUGUAUUAAAGUCUAUCUGAUUGCUACUAAUAAUGUUAAUGCAUUUGCCGUUUACGUAAUAAAAGUGUUUGUUGAUGUU